rnacentral:rRNA from 1 species
AUUGAACGCUGGCGGCAUGCUUUACACAUGCAAGUCGAACGGCAGCGCGGGCUUCGGCCUGGCGGCGAGUGGCGAACGGGUGAGUAAUGCAUCGGAACGUGCCCAGUAGUGGGGGAUAGCCCGGCGAAAGCCGGAUUAAUACCGCAUACGACCUGAGGGUGAAAGCGGGGGACCGAAAGGCCUCGCGCUAUUGGAGCGGCCGGUGUCGGAUUAGCUAGUUGGUGGGGUAAAGGCUUACCAAGGCGACGAUCCGUAGCUGGUCUGAGAGGACGACCAGCCACACUGGGACUGAGACACGGCCCAGACUCCUACGGGAGGCAGCAGUGGGGAAUUUUGGACAAUGGGGGCAACCCUGAUCCAGCCAUGCCGCGUGCGGGAAGAAGGCCUUCGGGUUGUAAACCGCUUUUGUUCGGGAAGAAAUCCUCUGGGCUAAUACCCCGGGGGGAUGACGGUACCGGAAGAAUAAGCACCGGCUAACUACGU